ensembl:snRNA U6 U6 spliceosomal RNA
GUGCUUGACUUGGAAGUACAUAUUGAAAUAAAAGUUGGAACAACUUGGUGAAGAUUAGCAUGAACUUGCACAAGAAUGACAUGGAAAUACAUCAAGUGUUCUCUGUUUUU